rnacentral:rRNA from 1 species
UACGGAGGGUGCGAGCGUUAAUCGGAAUUACUGGGCGUAAAGAGUGCGUAGGUGGUUAAUUAAGUUAUCUGUGAAAUCCCUGGGCUUAACCUGGGCAGGUCAGAUGAUACUGAUUGACUCGAGUAUGGGAGAGGGUAGUGGAAUUUCCGGUGUAGACGGUGAAAUGCGUAGAGAUCGGGAAAGGAACACCAGUGGCAAGGACGG